GCCCCGGUGGUGUAGUCCGGCCCAGCAUUUAGGACUUUCGCUCCUGCGACCCGGGUUCAAAUCCCGGCCGGGGCACCA
rnacentral:tRNA from 1 species